rnacentral:rRNA from 1 species
UUCUCCUUGUCGUGCAUAUGCUCCCAUGCUCGGCUCCCUCCCUCUCCAAGGAGCAGCAAUGCCACGGCUGACGAGCUCGCACUCCUCUCUUUCAAGUCCAUGCUAUCCUCCCGCUUGCUGGAUUCAUGGAACACGUCAAGCCACUACUGCAGCUGGCCAGGGGUUGCAUGCGGCCGUCGUCACCCUGACAGGGUCAUCUCGUUGCAGAUGGGCUCCUUCAAUCUGUCGGGGCACAUCUCACCAUUCUUGGGCAACUUGUCCUUUCUCAGAGAGCUUGACCUCGGCGACAACCAGCUCAUCGGGCAGGUACCUCCAGAACUUGGCCGUCUCGGCAGACUUCAACUGCUCAACUUUAGCGCGAAUUUUCUCCAAGCGAGAUCCCAACUGAGAUUGGUGCCUUGAAAAAUCUGUACAUCUUGAACCUACAAGAGAAUGGAUUCUCCGGAGGGAUCCC